rnacentral:rRNA from 1 species
UACGUAGGGGGCAAGCGUUGUCCGGAUUUAUUGGGCGUAAAGAGCGUGUAGGCGGCCCGGUAAGUCCGCUGUGAAAGUCAGGGGCUCAACCCUUGAAUGCCGGUGGAUACUGUCGGGCUAGAGUGCGGAAGAGGCGAGUGGAAUUCCUGGUGUAGCGGUGAAAUGCGCAGAUAUCAGGAGGAACACCGAUUGCGAAGGCAGCUCGCUGGGACGUAACUGACGCUGAGACGCGAAAGCGUGGGGAGCAAACAGG